UAUUGGUCAAUGGCCUAACGGCUGAACCAGCAACUUGGAGGAAUGUAUAGAGAAAGCUGGUAAAAAGCGAUGUAUCUUGUAGUAUUAGUAAUUAAUAUGAUAUUAACUAAGUUAAUUAAAAUUCAAUGUAGAUAUCUGAUAAUGACAGUAUUUGCUUAUGUCUUGACCAAAUCACGUGCCAGCAGUCGCGGUAAGACGUGGAAGAUAAGUGUUAUUCAUGUUUAACAGGUUUAAAGGGUACCUAGACGGUUAAUUAAACACUCUAAUGUAUUAAUUAACUAGAGUUUGAUAUAAGAAGGAUUGAGUACGGUGAGUGUAGAGAUAAAAUUUUAUUAGACCACUAUGGAACUGGUAAAGGCGAAGGCAACCUUCUAUGUAAAAACUGACGUUGAAGGACGAAGGA
rnacentral:rRNA from 1 species